rnacentral:rRNA from 1 species
GGUUAAGCGACUAAGCGUACACGGUGGAUGCCCUGGCAGUCAGAGGCGAUGAAGGGCGUGCUAAUCUGCGAUAAGCGCCGGUAAGGUGAUAUGAACCGUUAUAACCGGCGAUACCCGAAUGGGGAAACCCAGUGUGAUUCGUCACACUAUCAUUAACUGAAUCCAUAGGUUAAUGAGGCGAACCGGGGGAACUGAAACAUCUAAGUACCCCGAGGAAAAGAAAUCAACCGAGAUUCCCCCAGUAGCGGCGAGCGAACGGGGAGGAGCCCAGAGCCUGAAUCAGCAUGUGUGUUAGUGGAAGCGUCUGGAAAGGCGCGCGAUACAGGGUGACAGCCCCGUACACAAAAGCGCAUGUGCUGUGAGCUCGAUGAGUAGGGCGGGACACGUGGUAUCCUGUCUGAAUAUGGGGGGACCAUCCUCCAAGGCUAAAUACUCCUGACUGACCGAUAGUGAACCAGUACCGUGAGGGAAAGGCGAAAAGAACCCCGGCGAGGGGAGUGAAAAAGAACCUGAAACCGUGUACGUACAAGCAGUGGGAGCCCCACCACUAAGCCAGUGGUGAACUCCACAUACGCAUCCUUUGCUGAGGAUACGGUUAACGGAGCGAAAGCGACGUUCAACCGCAAAAGAAGCAGAGGGGGCUUAGUGGUGGGGUGACUGCGUACCUUUUGUAUAAUGGGUCAGCGACUUAUAUUCUGUAGCAAGGUUAACCGUAUAGGGGAGCCGUAGGGAAACCGAGUCUUAACCGGGCGUUAAGUUGCAGGGUAUAGACCCGAAACCCGGUGAUCUAGCCAUGGGCAGGUUGAAGGUUGGGUAACACUAACUGGAGGACCGAACCGACUAAUGUUGAAAAAUUAGCGGAUGACCUGUGGCUGGGGGUGAAAGGCCAAUCAAACCGGGAGAUAGCUGGUUCUCCCCGAAAGCUAUUUAGGUAGCGCCUCGUGAAUUCAUCUCCGGGGGUAGAGCACUGUUUCGGCUAGGGGGCCAUCCCGGCUUACCAACCCGAUGCAAACUGCGAAUACCGGAGAAUGUUAUCACGGGAGACACACGGCGGGUGCUAACGUCCGUCGUGAAGAGGGAAACAACCCAGACCGCCAGCUAAGGUCCCAAAGUCAUGGUUAAGUGGGAAACGAUGUGGGAAGGCCCAGACAGCCAGGAUGUUGGCUUAGAAGCAGCCAUCAUUUAAAGAAAGCGUAAUAGCUCACUGGUCGAGUCGGCCUGCGCGGAAGAUGUAACGGGGCUAAACCAUGCACCGAAGCUGCGGCAGCGAACGUAUCACUUAAAGCGAUUCAGCGGGUUACGAUUGACGGAGCGAAGCGACGUCAAAGCGUAUACAAAGUCGAGUCGGUUUAAGGAUACGUUCGUUGGGUAGGGGAGCGUUCUGUAAGCCUGUGAAGGUGGCCUGUGAGGGUUGCUGGAGGUAUCAGAAGUGCGAAUGCUGACAUAAGUAACGAUAAAGCGGGUGAAAAGCCCGCUCGCCGGAAGACCAAGGGUUCCUGUCCAACGUUAAUCGGGGCAGGGUGAGUCGACCCCUAAGGCGAGGCCGAAAGGCGUAGUCGAUGGGAAACGGGUUAAUAUUCCCGUACUUGGUGUUACUGCGAAGGGGGGACGGAGAAGGCUAUGUUGGCCGGGCGACGGUUGUCCCGGUUUAAGCGUGUAGGCUGGUUUUCCAGGCAAAUCCGGAAAAUCAAGGCUGAGGCGUGAUGACGAGGCACUACGGUGCUGAAGCAACAAAUGCCCUGCUUCCAGGAAAAGCCUCUAAGCAUCAGGUAACAUCAAAUCGUACCCCAAACCGACACAGGUGGUCAGGUAGAGAAUACCAAGGCGCUUGAGAGAACUCGGGUGAAGGAACUAGGCAAAAUGGUGCCGUAACUUCGGGAGAAGGCACGCUGACACGUAGGUGAAGUGAUUUACUCAUGGAGCUGAAGUCAGUCGAAGAUACCAGCUGGCUGCAACUGUUUAUUAAAAACACAGCACUGUGCAAACACGAAAGUGGACGUAUACGGUGUGACGCCUGCCCGGUGCCGGAAGGUUAAUUGAUGGGGUCAGCGCAAGCGAAGCUCCUGAUCGAAGCCCCGGUAAACGGCGGCCGUAACUAUAACGGUCCUAAGGUAGCGAAAUUCCUUGUCGGGUAAGUUCCGACCUGCACGAAUGGCGUAAUGAUGGCCAGGCUGUCUCCACCCGAGACUCAGUGAAAUUGAACUCGCUGUGAAGAUGCAGUGUACCCGCGGCAAGACGGAAAGACCCCGUGAACCUUUACUAUAGCUUGACACUGAACAUUGAGCCUUGAUGUGUAGGAUAGGUGGGAGGCUUUGAAGUGUGGACGCCAGUCUGCAUGGAGCCGACCUUGAAAUACCACCCUUUAAUGUUUGAUGUUCUAACGUGGACCCGUGAUCCGGGUUGCGGACAGUGUCUGGUGGGUAGUUUGACUGGGGCGGUCUCCUCCUAAAGAGUAACGGAGGAGCACGAAGGUUGGCUAAUCCUGGUCGGACAUCAGGAGGUUAGUGCAAUGGCAUAAGCCAGCUUGACUGCGAGCGUGACGGCGCGAGCAGGUGCGAAAGCAGGUCAUAGUGAUCCGGUGGUUCUGAAUGGAAGGGCCAUCGCUCAACGGAUAAAAGGUACUCCGGGGAUAACAGGCUGAUACCGCCCAAGAGUUCAUAUCGACGGCGGUGUUUGGCACCUCGAUGUCGGCUCAUCACAUCCUGGGGCUGAAGUAGGUCCCAAGGGUAUGGCUGUUCGCCAUUUAAAGUGGUACGCGAGCUGGGUUUAGAACGUCGUGAGACAGUUCGGUCCCUAUCUGCCGUGGGCGCUGGAGAACUGAGGGGGGCUGCUCCUAGUACGAGAGGACCGGAGUGGACGCAUCACUGGUGUUCGGGUUGUCAUGCCAAUGGCACUGCCCGGUAGCUAAAUGCGGAAGAGAUAAGUGCUGAAAGCAUCUAAGCACGAAACUUGCCCCGAGAUGAGUUCUCCCUGAGACUUAGAGUCUCCUGAAGGAACGUUGAAGACGACGACGUUGAUAGGCCGGGUGUGUAAGCGCAGCGAUGCGUUGAGCUAACCGGUACUAAUGAACCGUGAGGCUUAACCUU